rnacentral:sRNA from 1 species
UACAUUUAAGCAAAAAAAAAAUUGCUGUAUUUUUUCUAACUUAGUUAUCUGUGAGCCAAUGAAAAUUUGUGAACACACAGCAAGGACAGUUGGGGACUGUGGAUCUGAACUUACUCUUCUGGAGCCUCAGCCUUAAGCAUGUGUUCCCUUCCUUGUGUGAACUUCUAACAGCUGUUCUGCAUCCCACAUCCAACCGAGGAGACAAGGUGUGACACUCACCCAUUCCUCACCUCAUUCAGGGAGGAUUUUCUCACUUAUCAUCUCUCCACAGCUCUCAAUACUACCAUGGGGAGCCCCUCUAUCAUCCCCUCUGCAGUCCCCACAGCUGGCCUGGAGGACAAAAGGGACCAGAGGAAUCCUUCACUGCUGAACCUGGGAGCCAUGGUUGGGAUGGUCUUGGCCAAAGUUGUGGUCAUCAUCCCCCUGUAUGGAUGGAUGAUCUUCCUGUGGUGGAAGCAAAGGCCAGCAGCAUAAAGACUAAACUCUAGUAAGGUGAGUGCCUGUCAUCUCAAGGGACAGACGAGGAGCUGCUGGGAAGUUCAUUAUGAGAAGCAUGGAAGGGAGCCCGAGCGAUAAUUCUGUCAGAAACACAUGGCACAGGGGUAGGAGGACCUGAGUUUGAUGGAUCAGGAGCUUGCACCCAGGGAUGUGGCAUGAAUUUGCAAUCCCAGCCCUGGUCGAGCAAGAGACAGGCAGAGACAGAUUGGCUGAACACCAAGUAUAGGACACUUGG